GAUAAAUCGACCCCCGAGCACUCUCCUGUCCAUUCCUGUACUCCAGUGGCAUAGGCAGAGUCAACGGAGGAGUGGCAGCAGUCGACUCACAGCGGUGGAGACAUCACGUUUCAGCUUUUCUUCUUGACACUUGAAAAUAUUGCAUCUCUUCAUGGAGAUUAAAAUUUGACAUGAGAAGAGCAAGGAAAAAUCUUGAUCUUUAGAGCUCAGCUGUGAGAUGGCUAUCCAUUAAAUACCAAACCCUCGAGAAUGCUGGAAGUUUCCAGUGGGAAAACCCACAUUUAGGAACACAACUAUUCAUCAUCGUUAGGGGAGAAGGAGCUG